UCACCAGACUCCUACGGGAGGCAGCAGUGGGGAAUAUUGCACAAUGGGGGGAACCCUGAUGCAGCGACGCCGCGUGAGCGAAGAAGUCUCUCGGUAUGUAAAGCUCUAUCAGCAGGGAAGAAAAUGACGGUACCUGACUAAGAAGCUCCGGCUAAAUACGUGCCAGCAGCCGCGGUAAUACGUAUGGAGCAAGCGUUAUCCGGAUUUACUGGGUGUAAAGGGAGCGCAGGCGGCGCGCCAAGUCUGGUGUGAAACCCCGGGGCUCAACCCCGGGACUGCAUUGGAAACUGGCGUGCUGGAGUGUCGGAGGGGCAGGCGGAAUUCCUGGUGUAGCGGUGAAAUGCGUAGAUAUCAGGAGGAACACCGGUGGCGAAGGCGGCCUGCUGGACGACAACUGACGCUGAGGCUCGAAAGCGUGGGGAGCAAACAGGAUUAGAUACCCGAGUAAC
rnacentral:rRNA from 1 species